ACUCAAAGGAAUUGACGGGGACUUGCACAAGCGGUGGAUCAUGCGGCUCAAUUCGAUGACAAACGAAGAACCUCACCAGGGUUUGAAACCCAGACGACCGCUCUAGGAAACUAGAGCUUUCGCAAGACGGCUGGGCAGGUGAUGCAUGGUCGUCGUCAGUUCGUGGCUUGAGUUGUUCCCUUCAGUGGGGUAACGAACGCAACCCCCGUUGCCUGUUUUCUAUGUCAGGCGAGACUGCUCCCUCACGGGAGAGGAAGGUGGGGAUGACGCCAGAUCAGCAUGUCCCUCUGAUAUCCUGGGCUGCACGCAUGAUACAAUGGGCGCGACAACGAGACGCGACGGGGUAACCCUGAGCAAAUCUUUAUAAACGCGUCCCCAGUUCGGAUUGAGGGCUGCAACUCGCCCUCAUGAAGCCGGAAUCGCUAGUAAUCGCGGGUCAGCUAUACCGCGGUGAAUACGUUCUCAAGUCUUGUACACACCGCCCGU
rnacentral:rRNA from 1 species